CAGCCAACGAAAUGAAUGCUUUUAAGCGUCUCACAUGCAUAAUAUGAAUAAUUCAUUAUUUAAUACUUCAGGCAUGGUUUACAUUUAAUUAGCCUAACAGAUGGCGCCAACUUCAAGUUCAAAUAAUAGGAAUCGUUAAUUUGAAAUUUCCAGAUGGAAAACCCAACCCAACCGGAAAUUUCCAAGCUUCGAACAAAUGUUAAAUUAAAGUUUAUAUACUUUAAAUUAUAAAAAAAUUUGUCUCAACACCAUAUCUUUUUAAAACUUUUGAUUAUAUAUUUUAUAUUAUAAACUUUAAUUAACUAUUACUUUUUAAAAAAUGUAUAGAUCAAUACAAUUUUUUUUUUAUUGAUA